CCAAGGAGUCUAACAUGUGCGCGAGUCGUCGGGUCGUCCACCGCGACGAAACUCGAAAGGCGCAAUGAAAGUGAAGGUCGCGCCACUGCGGUGGCCGGCCGAGGCGGGAUCCGUUUCCGGGCACAUAUCCGGGGCUUCGCGGCCCUGGAGAAAGCCCGGCGGCGCACCGCCGGCCCGUCUCGACCGCAUCGCCGGUGAGGCGGAGCCAGAGCGUACACGUUGGGACCCGAAAGAUGGUGAACUAUGCUCGGGCAGGACGAAGCCAGAGGAAACUCUGGUGGAGGUCCGUAGCGAUUCUGACGUGCAAAUCGAUCGUCGGACCUGAGUAUAGGGGCGAAAGACUAAUCGAACCGUCUAGUAGCUGGUUCCCUCCGAAGUUUCCCUCAGGAUAGCUGGUGCUCGGUGAGGAACGCAGUCUCAUCCGGUAAAGCGAAUGAUUAGAGGCCUUGGGGCCGAAACGACCUCAACCUAUUCUCAAACUUUCAAUGGGUGAGAAGUCCGGCUUGCCUGAACGAAGCCCGGACGGCGCCCCCUCGCAUCUUUAUCGAUGACGGUGCGGGGCGCAAGCAAAUUGACUCGUGUGCGUGAAGGAUGCUGAGUGCCCAGUGGGCCAAUUUUGGUAAGCAGAACUGGCGCUGUGGGAUGAACCAAACGCCGGGUUACGGCGCCCGAUGCGGACGCUCAUCAGACCCCAUGAAAGGUGUUGGUUGCUAUAGACAGCAGGACGGUGGCCAUGGAAGUCGGAANNNNNNNNNNNNNNNNNNNNNNNNNNNNNNNNNNNNNNNNNGGCCCUAAGGAAUAGGGGAACCCGUUCCGAAUUUAAGGGGAGUUUUUACAAUGUCCAUAGCAAACCGUAAAAAAAAAAAACAAACCCCCAAGAGACCGAAAGGGAAUCGGGUUAAUAUUCCCGAACCCGGACGCGGAGAUCGGCCCUUCGGGGCCCAAUGCGGUAACGCAAACGAACUCGGAGACGUCGGCGGGAGUCCCGGGAAGAGUUGUCUUUUCUUUGUAAGGGACGGACUCCCUGGAAUCGGCUCGCCCGGAGAGAGGGAUGUUGUUCCCGUAAAGCACCGCGGCUCUUGCGGUGUCCGGAGCACUCUCGCCGGCCCUUGAAAAUCCGAGGGAGAGGACGUGAUUUUCGCGCCGGACCGUACCCAUAUCCGCAGCAGGUCUCC
rnacentral:rRNA from 1 species